UAGUGGUUACUUGUUUAACGUCUGGGCGGGGGGAGCUAUGCCACUUUUUUUUUAGACGUUUCAGAGUUGCUCAAGUGAUUUUUUUUUUGACGAUGGGGUUGUGUGUCCUGUAAACCUGUUUAUGAACAAACACCCUCUUGAACCAUACAAGAUUGCACAAAUCACGGAGUCUGGGGUAAUGAAUUUUCAGAAAUGGGUUUAAAAACACAUUCAUAUACAAGGGCGGAUGAAAGUUAAUGACAAUAUUGAAUUAAGACCAACUACAGUUGCUUUUCAUAACAUUCUGGUGCUCAGACAUCUUGUCCUAAGGUUAGUCUCAGAUGGCUUUAAUGCUCAGAGUCUUGGAAAGGUUUUUGCUUCAUCUUCCUGUAAUUCCUCCCAUGAAAGAGGUGAUUGGGACAGUUCACAAACGACCAGAUGAAACUGUUAAAAAGUCGUUUGGAUGUUUACAUGACAUUUGAAGGCAUUGCAGUGCCUUUCAUGAAAGGAAGGUGUUGCAGUAUGGCUUCAAAAUUAUCUAAGGGAAGAGAGUUCCUGUCCUCACAAGAUGGGGAUAGAAUUCGAUUACUUUUAAGAUGUUUUCAUUGCUUAUUGCUGCUGCUCCAUCUUUUCGUGGAUAAAGUCUUCAAAUGUUGACUUUUUAAAACUUUUUAAAAAGUGUCUUAUGUUCUAGGAUGUAAAACAUUGUUUUCCACACUAAACUAGGAUUAAUUUGUGCCUAUGUUAUUUGCUGUGCAUAUUAAUCUGCAUUUUAAAAUCAUUUACCCGUGUUUAACAUACUCUUAGAACUGUGGGAUUUUAAAAUGGCAUAAGAUUUCUUUAUUAUUAUUUAAAUUUUAUUUUUCAAUUAUAGUUUACAUUGAAUAUUAUUUUAUAUUAGUUUCAGAUGUUCAGCACAGUGUUUAGACAGUUUUCUGCUUUACAAAAUGUUGGGAAGAGACUUGAGAGAUUUCUGUCACCUGUUACUUACCAGGAAAGAAACAGGUCUAGAGUCAAAUGUGCUGUUGUGCAAGUUGACACCUGGCAAGGACCUGGAGCGGAGGUUUUCACGUUCAUUCCAUCUAGUGCUCCUUUCAGGACGCUUCUUUUCAGUGGCCCAGAAUUGUGUGUUUCUAAUUCUCUGGGUGUGUUAUUCCACCUAAUGUAAUAUACAGAGGUGGCCUGUCUUUCUGUCUUUUUCUAGUACAUGUUUUUUAAUUGUACUCAGUGUUUGUCUAUGAUACCUUUAAGUUAGCUAUUUGGUUAGUAUGUGUACACGAUUUCACAGAAAGCAAAGGAAUUGUAAUUUUCUUUUGACCAUUUAACAACAAAAAAAUGGUGUUGAUCUAUGUGUGAUUGUUUUUAUUUCUGUGUCUGACAGACCUAUUAGGUAUUUGAUGAUGUUGGCCAAGCAGUUGCUGCUGUGUUUAUGUUAGCUCUUAAAAAGUGGAAGAACACUGAGCCUGUGUGUGAUAAUCAAAAUGUUACUUUGGGAAGUCUGCUACAUAGGAAAUAUUCUGGGGGUAGGGUGAGCUUUUAAGUUACUGAAAAGCUUUUGGAUAGUGCCACAUUUAUUUAUUCCCCUCUUGCCUUUUACAGUUUGCUUUUUAGCUCAUUAUACAACACUGAACUGAGCAAAACAAGCCUUAUUGAUUCCUUCAAGUGAUUUUUAGGCACUGGGCAAAACAACUUAUUCAGGCAUCUAAUACGUACUAUCCAAAUUGCUGAUUAAGUUGAAGUUCUUUGUUGGGUAGAGUUGCACAACUACGAAAAACAGGAGAUGAACUCAUGGGACUAGUGAGGAUCAGUAGAGUUAGAACAUCAAAAAAUUCUGAGCUGUAAAUCAGAAAUGAAUGAAGUGAGGUGAAAAAGGCAUGUAGAGUUCAUCUAUGGAGAAGGAAAAGUUUGCUUUUUUCACAACCAUUUUUCUGAAAAGAUAAGAGCAAUAUGUAGCCUUUUAAUGAAUAUGUGUGCAUAACUUUCUCUGCAGUACUGUUUUUUUUACCAUAGAUGAUAUUUCUGGGAAGAGAAUUAUUGAUUAAAGGAAAUCUAACUUUUUAAGGCUCUUCAUACUGCCAAACUAUCCUCCAUUGAAGCCUUGAUUUCAAUAACAAUAUUAGAAACAAUAAUUUGGGUAGCAGUUAACCAUUGCCAUUUGUAUAAUGGUUUAAGUAUGAUAUAUCAUGAUGGGAUGCAAAGCAGUUAUUU